GGCUUAUUAGAAAACGCCGUGAGAAAUGCUAUAACCAGAAUGUGUUUCUUCUUUAAUGCCCUUUGCUCUAAAGUUAUUGCCGUAUCAAAGUUGGAGGUUAUUCAGUUAGAAAUUGUGAAGACUUUGUGCUUGUUCGAACAAUAUUUUCCUCCAUCUUUCUUUGAUAUAAUGGUUCAUUUGACAGUUCAUCUGGUUAGAGAAGUCACCCUUUCAAUAGGUUGAUGAAAGUUUACAAGGGUUAUGUACGAAAUUGAAAUCGUCCAGAGGGUUGUAUAGUUGAAUCUUAUAUAGCUGAAGAAGCAGUUGAAUUAUGUUCUAAGUAUAUGGUCGAUGUUGACUCAAUUGGAAUUCCAAUAAGGGCAAGAGAGGAAGUUGUAGAAAAUAAGGGUAUCAACAAUGGAAAACCUACUUUAAUGGAAAAAGAAGAUUGGGAGGUUGCUCGUCAAAAUAUCUUGGAGAAUACAGUUGAGGUUCAACCUUAUAUAGAGUAAGUACAUUAUUUAAAUUAAUUUUCUUAAAUUGAACAAAUAAUGUUAGUAAUUAUUAUGUUGUAGUAACAAUAUUAUUCAAUACAGAGAACAUUUGCAAUAUCUAAAUAAGAAAAAUCAAACAAAAUCUAGAAAGCAGAUUCAAGAUGAGUAUCAUCGUACUUUUUGACAUUGGUUUCUUGAUAAGGUGAUAUUUUACUUUAAAAUGACAACUCCAAUAUAAACUAUUUUUAAUGAUUGUUUGCAUAAAUGUAAUUAAGGUAUUAUUCAUUAAUGUAGAUUCAAAAAGAGUUGACCGAUGAGUUGCAUGAAGUUACCGAAACUUUGAGAUGGCUUUCAUUAGGUCUGACUCGAUUGGCAAUUAAGCACAAUGUGUUUAUAAUUAAUGGUUGUAGGUUUAACACUAAAGUUCGUGAUGAUGUUAGGGUCACCCAAAAUAGUGGUGUAAGUAUUGUAGCUCAAACCUUACAAGUCUCUAGUGCACGUGACAAGAACCCUAUAUAUGGUGAGAUGAAAUUUUAUGGUGUCAUCCAAGAAAUAUGGGAGCUUGAUUAUCGUGAAUUUAGGAUGCCGAUGUUCAAGUGUGAUUGGGUAGACAGCAAAAACGAUGUGGAGAAAGAAAAGUUAGGUCAUUAAAGUUGAUUUGAAUAAAAUAGGACAUAAAAAGGACUCAUUUAUAAUGGCAAGUCAAGCUAAACAAGUGUUUUAUGUUGAGGAUCCUACUUCAUCAAGAUGGUCAAUAGGGCUUGCUUCACAACCAAGAGACAAACAAAGUGCAUGAUGGAGAUCAACAACAUGACUUUGGUGAAUCCCUGAGUUUGAGGGAGUUGAAGCAACUGUUGGGCCAUAUGUACGAAAAUAUGGUGAUGGAAUUUGGAUAGAUCAUGGACCCAUUUGAUGAGCAUCUUGAGGAGUACCUAGAGGGUGAUGAUAGUAAGCUGAUGUUGAUUCCAUCGAUGAGAAUACUGAUGGUGGUUCUAUGGAUGUUGACCACGGGGAGGAGGAUAAUAAUAAAGAGAAAAAGAAGAGAAAAAGAAAAAACAUAAGCGGACACGAGGCAUAGUGCGAUUGACGAGGAUCAUAGCAGAUAAAAUUAAAGGAAUCAAACGCCAUUUGAGGUUCAAUAGCGGGGGGCAAUCAAUCGGGACCCCAAACAGAGAGCUUCAAUGUUAUUUAGGAAUGCAAGCCAAAAGUAUGGUGCCAAUUAACAUUGGCAAUUAGUGCAACGUUCCUAAAUCUAUAUUGGACAGCUUAUGGAAAGAUGUCAAUGUAAGACAUUUCACUAUGUUUUGAAAUAAAUUGAUGAGUUUUAUAUUUUCUUUUGCUUACAAAGUUUCUUAAACUA